AGAGGCUGAGAGAAAUUGAGUAACUUGCCUCAAGCCAUAUAUUCGGCACCGAGAUGUGAUCUGAGCCAGAGCCAACAACUGAGGUCCAAACAGCGUGCCUUGCGCAAGGCCACACAAGAGGUAAGUUGGGACCUGAACACACCUGAUUCUAUAUCAUUUCAUGCUCAUGUUUGUGCCCUGCCCAGGAAUCCCCAAACCCACCUGCUUCAGUCUUUGCUGAGAAUUUACAGUGACAAUUUAUGGGACUCUCUUUAGGAGAAUGACAAGUUGCAGGUGAACUCUUGGAACAAAUGUGGAUUGUCUUGUCUUCAUUUGGAAUGUAUGACAAACUCAUAGGGCCAUGUCAGAAUGCAGAGUGACUGGGGGCUUCAGGACCCCGUGGGGAUGUGGGGGGCAUUGUGUGUCUGCCUUGUUUUGAUCCAUUCUGCUGCUCCAGAUAAUGGCAUUGGCUGUACCAGUGGCCCAGAUCCUUCACCUGCAGAAGAGCUUCCCAGAGAGGAGCAAGCCUUCCUGCCGUCACCUCUGGUGUCAUCCUAUAGGACAUUAAAACCAACUCAAGAUUGUGUUGAAAACUGUUUUCCUUUUGAGGAUGCUAAUAAGAACAAGAUCAUAUCAACGGGUAUGGAUCAUGGCAGGAUUUUCCUUCAGCUGAGUCUUUUAAUGAGCCGUUUCAUAAUGAGGGCUGAAUCUACACACAGUAUCUACAUGCUAGCCAAGGUUUAAAGACUUUUAUAAUAUUUUCCUCCAUUCUCACCCCCUUCGAAGCCCUGGCUUUAAUUCUUUUAAACAGUAACAUUCAUUGGCUGUUAAGUAAAACAGGAGAGAACACAAUAAAUUUAUGAUAUUUUGAGAAGCUAUGCCAGUUCUCAAGCAUUCAGAGAAACAAGCUUGGCUUUUAUGAGGUAAUUAUGAUUUAGUGUUUUCUCUCGCCCUGUUGAGUCUGUGGGCUGCCUGUAAAAUGGAUCUGGAAUGAAUGUCAAAGUCAGGAUUUACAGUCAAACAUUUUCAACAUAUAAAGUACAGGAGAAGUUUAUUGUUUUGUUGGGGUUUUUUUUUUUCUAAGCAAUAUUUCCUUCUGCAUUUGUGUGCUGUUAGGUUUUGUAGGAUUUCUCCCCUCCCAUUUGAAAUGGUAUCUAUAAAUUACUUUUCCUGAUAAGGCUGCAGUAUCAUCAAAAAGUGAUGGUCUUUGCAAGCAAUCGUGACAAAGCAUGUCAAUUUAAAUCAUUUCUUUCUCUUCCUCUCACUCUUUUUUCCUCUUACCUUCAACAGGAAACUAUCAUUUCAAUGUUUCCACCCUUUCAGAAAUGAGCAGGAAUUGACUAAGCUUGAUGAGUUUGAGGUAUAAGAGAUCUUCAUGCUCCUUCCUUCUACCAUCUUUUUCCCCUGUUCUCUCUUUGAAAUAAAAACUGUGUUUGGAUGUUACCUUCAGGGAGAGCAGACUCUGGGAUCAUCAGGCUCCAAGGCUUUCCGCCCUUACUCUCCCGUUAACAUGCUGGGAUUGACACCACCUUUGCAAAAAUUAUGACGGUGAGAAAAAUCUGACAUAGGAAAAUUAUGUCAGUUAAAGAGAUCUGACCUGACCAACUCCAUCUUGCUCAUAACCUCCAAGCUGCCCUUGUUCAUUUUGGGGCAUAGGCUGAACUAACUUUGGGAAGAAUUUCAUUUAUAGCUUAACUUUGAAACAACUAUGAUAACAGCCCUUUCCCUGAAAUGAACCCCCUCUUUGCUUGGGGAACAGACCAUUUUUGUAAAACCAACAAAUUUGCCACAAGAUUAGAAAUUAUGGCUCAGGAGUCAUGCAGCCAGAGGCCACAAGAUUCCUAACCUCCCCAGGCACUCUUAUGAAUAACAUCACUAUUGUAAAACCUAAGAUUGGUGUUCAAGAUAUUUUUCAGACCCUGCAUUCUGAUGGACCAGCUGGCACCACCCAGACCAGUAAUCUGGGUCAACCUGUUCUGCGAUCCUAUCCAGGAACAGAAGAUAGCAGGAAGAACCUGCUUUGACCCUCUGUGAUUUCAUCUCUGACCCAACCAAUCAGCACUCCCCAUUCCCUCGCCCCCUGCCUGCCAAACUAUCUUUAAAAAACACUAGCCUUGGCUGGGUGCUGUGGCUCAUGGCUGUAAUCCCAGCACUUUGGGAGGCCAAGGCAGGUGGAUCACCUGAAGUUGGGAGUUCGAGACCAGGCUUGCCAACAUGGUGAAACACCAUCUCUACUAAAAAUACAAAAAUUAGCUGUGUGUGGUGGCAGGCGCCUGUAAUCCCAACUAUUUGGGAGUCUGAGGCAGGAGAAUCGCUUGAACCCGGGAGGCGGAGGUUGCAGUGAGCCAAGAUCGUGCCACUGCACUCCAGCCUGGGCAACAGGAGUGAAAUUCCAUCCCAAAAAAACCAAACCAAAACAAAACAAACAAAACCCUAGCCUCUGAAUUUUCAGGGAGGUUGAUUUGAGUAAUAAUAAAACUCCAGUCUCCCAGUUAGCCAGCUCUACCUGUCUUAAACUCUUUCUCUAUUAGAAUUCCCCAGUCCUGAUAAAUAAGCUUAAUCUGGGCAGCGGGUAAAAUGAACCCAUCAGGCAGUUACAGGAUCUUAGGCAGUUGUUACUGAACUGAACUUGGGUCCACUUACCCAACAUGAAAAAAAAAAAAAGCCAAACACUGACACUGAAGUUUGCAGCAAAAGAAACUGAGGCAUUUAUUGCAGAGUUCCAAGCAAGGAAGAUUGGGCAGCUCACACUUAAGAUCCAAACUCCCCAGUGGUUUACAAGCAAGAGUUUUCAAGGGCAGGGGUACAUUUCAGGAAAGCAGAAGUUACAGGCAAAAUAGUAAAUCAAUACGUAGAGGUUAAACAUUGGUUUGGCCCAAAAAGGCAGGAUAUCUUGAAGACAGGGCUUAUAGGUCAUACGUGGAUUCAGAGAUUCUUUGAUUUGCAAUUGGUGAAGGGAGCAAGGCUUCGUCUAAAAACUUAGGGUCGGUAGGAAGCAAUGUUAAUUAAGGGUUUGGCCUGAGGGUGCGACUCUCUUGAAGCCCGUCAGGAAGAAAUUUAGAACAACAAACACUGGUCAGUCCUCACUGCCCCAUUAUCUGAGCUCUAUGUGACAGCAGUUGGCAUUUUCCACCUGAUGGGGGUCUGGGUAUCUGAAAAGCGACUCAAUAACAUAUGCUAAGAUAUGAUCAUUAGAGUCACAAAUCACCUUGUGACUCUAACUUGCUUGAGACACUAUUGCUUAAAUUAUUACUAUCUUCUUGCUUAUUAGGAUGUUCAUUAACUUCUCAAGGCUAGGUAGGUGCCUGGAAUUUUCCUUGAAAAAAACUCAAGAUUUUUCCUUUAUUUCUCUGGAGGCCUCUAAGAGGGGUCCCUGCUCCAUCUCGCAGUCACCUUGCCUCUAGGAACCCCCACCCCCGUUUCUUAAUUUGUCAGAUAAGGCAGUGAGUGGUUUCAAAGUCCUCUUCCAACUCUAAAAUGUUAAGAUUACCUACAUAUGGCCCAAUAGUAUUACAUUAGGUCAACUUGGUAUUUGCAUGUUUGUCUUCAGAGGUAACAGAGAUAGAGGGGAGGGAAUGAUGUGACAAAGACUCUGAUCUUUUUUUUUUUCUCAGACAGAGUCUCACUGUCACCAAGGCUGGAGUGCAGUGUCGCGACCUUGGCUCACUGCGAGCUCCGCCUCACAGGUUCAUGCCAUUCUCCUGCCUCAGCCUCCCGAGUAGCUGGGACUACAGGCGCCCACCACCUCGCCCUGCUAAUUUUUUGUAUUUUUAGUAGAGACAGGG
rnacentral:lncRNA from 10 species